AAGAUUUUAGUUUAAGAUUAAAAUAAUUCAUUUACAUUGGAUAGAUUAAUUAAAAAAUAUUAAAAUUUUA
rnacentral:tRNA from 1 species